rnacentral:lncRNA from 1 species
CCCAAACAGGCAUCCACAAAUAAAUAAAUAAAUAAAUAAAUAAAUAGUAAAGUUUUCAGUAAAUAGAGAAAGUAAAGGAGAAAAAUGCCUUUUUUUUUUUUUCUUCACCUUUUUUUCUUUUUUUUUUCCAGUUAGAUUUUUCUUUGCACAAAAAUAAUGUCAUUGGAGAAAAAUGAAUUGUGGGCAAAGUUCUCUAACAGGAAAAGCAGUUUGAUUCAAUGUUAUUUCUGAUGUUCGCAUUCUAUUCCUUCUCUAGCCUUCACAACCAGUCACCAUAGCAACAAAAGGGCUGAAAAGUCCUCUGCCCAUUUCAUAAUCAUUUAAUCAUUCAACAACCAAAGAAAUUAGGAACGGGAGAGUAGAGUAAGAAGAAAUACCAAAAGCAAAAUAGACUUGAGUGUCAAAAUAAUAAAAAAUACACAUGUAUACACACAUAUAUAUGAAGAGUAAAGAGAAAUGAUCAACAGGAUCUUUGUAUGGACACAGACAUUGGUUUAAGCCUCUCACUGUACUGAGUCACAGCAUCUCUCCUGAGGGAGACCAUCUGAUACGUUCCUCAAGUUACUGAAAAAAGCAUAGAGAAUCCAUGUCAAAAGUCCAGACAAUGUGCAGAGGUAAGGAUGUUUCUAACUAAUAAAAGGCAAAUUCUACAGUAUCUUUUAUGUCUUCUUUGUUACAGGAGGAAGGCUGGGCCUACAAGUCUCUGAAGCUCUCAACAUAAAUCCACUUAAAGGAUGCUCCAGCAAAAGUGGCAUCUCUGUCUCCUUCAAGAAGAAGGUUAUACACUCCCCUGAUAAUCACAACAGUAUUGUUGAGCAUCUGGUAGCCUGGAGUAAUAUUUCCUUCUCCCUGAAAGAUAACACUGUAACAGACAGCUUUCCAUCCAUCAGUGAGGUUAAAAGCACUGCUUUGAAACACUGGACCAGUGGGAAGUUCAGCUUGAAAAGGACAGGACAUUCUGAAUUGCCAUAAAAUUAAUGUAAGAAUUUGGUUGGUCCAACCCUUUAUCCUCCAGCCUAGGUUAAUAAUUUUGAAAUAUUUCUGAAACAUGCACUGUUAUAUCCCUGCUCAGAACAGGAGCCAGUAUGGUACCCUUUGAGAUAGGAAACCCAAGUUUUAUUUUGUUUCACUAAGCAACUUCCACUGUUGCCAGAGAGUCUGUCUUGACACUCUGUUGUUUUCUUCACAGCCUGAGUGAGAAGUUUGCCCACACAUCGACAGAAGGCAGCUCUGUCAGAGUGAAUUUUGAAAAAGGACAUCUGAUUAGAGUUCCUGUUAUCACUUAGAUCAGAACAGAAAUUUGUUUUCUUGUCUCUCUGUCCUUCUCUCUCUCUUUUAUUUAUUUAUUUAAACAGAGAAAAAGCUUAAACAGGCCAGGCAGGCAAGAGAGGAUAAGAAUUUGUUUCUCAUUAUCCAAAUAUUUCCUAAACUGCAAUGCUUUGAAUAAGACUGAGUAUUUUAGCCACUGCCUUAUCCUUUUUGAAGAGAACUAAUUAUGGCACAUACCUUACAAAUAUUGCUUUUGCUUACAUGCCCUACAUGAUGUUCACCUCUUUUCACAAUAGCGUAAGAUUGCCAGUAUAGUAAUUGUACCAUUCACUACAGCUCUAUAUUUCUUUUUUCCUCAUAACAGGAUAGUGAGAGCCAGUGCAGCUACGAGACAGAAUUUGACACCCCAAAACUUAAUAAAUGAUGUCUGUCAGGAAAAAAAAAAAAGGAU